rnacentral:rRNA from 1 species
UAGUGGCGGACGGGUGAGUAACGCGUGGGUAACCUGCCUUAUACAGGGGGAUAACAGUUAGAAAUAGCUGCUAAUACCGCAUAAGCGCACAGUUCCGCAUGGAACAGUGUGAAAAACUCCGGUGGUGUGAGAUGGACCCGCGUCUGAUUAGCCAGUUGGCGGGGUAACGGCCCACCAAAGCGACGAUCAGUAGCCGGCCUGAGAGGGUGAACGGCCACAUUGGGACUGAGACACGGCCCAAACUCCUACGGGAGGCAGCAUG